CCAUCUUGGCGGGGCGGGCGAGCGGCGGCCUCGGCGCUUCCCGCGCGUCCCGCCGGGCCCUGGGGUGGGGAAACCCGGCGGCAGCCGGUCCCUGCAGCACCCCCCACACCGCCGGGACGGCCCUGCGGGGGCUGGAGAGCGCCGAGCGGCUGAGGGAGCUGCGGGGGUCCCGCCACCCAGGUCACCAGGCAAACUAGACCAGGAGAUGGGGAAAUCCAGAUGAGGCCCUCUUGGUUUUGAGCUGCAGAAAGCUUUGCCUCUAAGAGACAAGUGGGUUAGCUGCUUGGAAGCUCCUGAAUCUCCUUCCUAGACGUGAAUGAGCCUUGUUUUAAAUCUGCUGUCUCAGCUGGUCAAGAGUAGGUUUCACUGACACUGUGGGAGCAUGAAAUCAGUGGUAGUGGGCAGGAUCACCCACAGUCUGCUCAUCAGCUCCAGGAUAUCAACCUGCACGUGCCCAUGUGUGUUCUCUUCCUGCCUGGCUUUUUGGGCUGCCCCUUCUCACCAGAGAGGCAAUGUUGGAGGGCAUAAAUACCCAGCAAGCCCCAGUUUACACCACAAGGAGCCUCAAGCUGGAGACUCCAGGACUAGUUGCUGUGAUUAGUCCCACUGCAUGUGAAAAGGGGGAGCUCCCAGGCUUUGGCCAACGGGGGAUCAACCUAUCCCAGUGUCUCCCAGUUCUGUCCAGUGUCUCUGUUCUGUAGGUUUUCAGCAUAAAGUCUAGGGAUCCUCCUCAGCUUCAGGAGGGUUCUUGCAUUCCCACUCCCACCCUCGUGGUGUCUUGCACUCAGCACACGUGUGGAACAUCUGACUGUGCAGAUCCAGGAGGCCUGUCCUGUGCUUCCCAGCACAUCACACCCAUGUUCAGCCUUCCUGGAAGGUCUCAGAGCUUCUGCAGGUUGUCCUCCAGCACACAAGUGCUGCUCCAGCCAGGGGGAAGCCUGCCUGGCAACCCUUUGCUCCACAGCAGGGACACAGUGCUCACAGCUGACAGAGUCCUCAAAAUCUGCACAGCCCCAGUCCUGGGCUGGUGGGAGGAUGCUCCUGGAAAAGCCCAGCAGGAUGGCAGCCCCAGGGUGGCUGGUGGGCCCACAUCAGCUUCUGCUCUGUGUUCUGCAGCUCCCUCCCUGCUUCCAAGCGUUUGUGUGAAGAGCUUUGGAAGGGUUCACAACAGGAAUCAGCAACCUGGUCUAGUCUGGCAUUGCAUGUGGGGUGGGAACCAUGCAGGGGGGUUGGAAUGAGAUGAUCUUUAAGGUGCCUUCCAACCUCAACCAGUCUGGGAUUCCAUGAUUCUGUGCCCAAGGACCCUCAGUCUGCAGCCCAGCUCCCCCUCCCAUCUUAGGGCUGUUACCUCUGCUGCCUUUUCCCUGCCCCUCAGCUGAAGAUCCCCAUAAGGACAAUCCCUAAUUACUAUUUGUCAUCCUUAGGGCAUCGUGACAUUGCUGAACACCACAGAAAUAAAGAACAGAGAUGCAAGGGUUUUUCCUGGAGAACAAGUGUUUCCUCAUGUCAGUGUCUUGUGGUGCCCUCAUGUUGACACCAGCUGUCCCAAAGGUCAAAGCAACAUCCCCCAAAAUACUCACUGCAGUGCAGAUGUUGAUCAGCAGCUGAGCCCAAAGGCAGCAGCCCCAUCCCAUGUCUCCUGGCUCAGCUUUCUCUGUGGAGAGCACAAGCAAAAAGUAUGUGGAGGUCCUAGAAUCAUUAAGGUUGGGAGGGACCUUCAAGACCAUCAAGUUCCAGCCCCCCUGCCAUGAGCAGGGAACCACUAGACCAGGCUGCACAAAACCUCAUCCAGCCUGGCCUUAAAAACCUCCAGGGAUGGGGCAUCAACAGCCUCCCUGGGCAACCCAUUCCAGUUCCUCACCACCCUGAGAGUGAAGAAUUUCUUCCUAAUAUCCAACCUAAAUCUCCCCUCUCUCAGUUUAAAACCAUCACCCCUUGUCCUAUCACUGUCUUCUCUGAUGAAAAGCCCCUCCCCAGCUUUCCUGGAGCCCCUUCAGGCACUGGAAGCUGCUCUAAGGUCUCCCUGGAGCCUUCUCUUCUCCAGGCUGAACACCCCAACUCUCCCAGCCUGGCUCCAGAGCAGAGCUGCUCCAGCCCCUGGAUCAUCCCUGUGGCCUCCUCUGGACUGUCUCUAGAUCAUUCUUGUGCUGAGGGCACCAGAACUGGACACAGGUCCUGCCCCCCAGUCCAGGGCUGGAGGGAAGAAACAACCCAGAAUGUUCUUGAACACAGAGUCCUUCUUCCUCCAAAAUGCUUCCCUGGUUGCCAACAGCUUCUGGAAUAAGUUAUGCAGCAUCCCUCAAUGAAUAAAGAGGAAAAAAAAAUAAUAAAAUCAACCCAUGCUUUAGCAACCAAGUCAAAA